GCGGACGUGGCGGAAUUGGUAGACGCGCUGGAUUUAGGUUCCAGUGCCGGAAGGUGUGAGAGUUCAAGUCUCUCCGUCCGCACCA
rnacentral:tRNA from 1 species